UACGUAGGGUGCGAGCGUUAAUCGGAAUUACUGGGCGUAAAGCGUGCGCAGGCGGUUUGUUAAGUCCGCUGUGAAAGCCCCCGGGCUCAACCUGGGAAUGGCGGUGGAAACUGGCGAGCUAGAGUGUGGCAGAGGGGGGUGGAAUUCCACGUGUAGCAGUGAAAUGCGUAGAGAUGUGGAGGAAUACCGAUGGCGAAGGCAGCCUCCUGGGCCAACACUGACGCUCAUGCACGAAAGCGUGGGGAGCAAACAGG
rnacentral:rRNA from 1 species